UUUAAAUGCAACCAUAAGUUUCCGUGUCCAACUUUAAUCAUCUGUAUUAUUCGAAAUUUUUUUAUGAUUAGUAUUAUUAUUAUUAUUAUAUUAGAUGAUAAAACAUGAAUAGAAUUUUAUGCGUGAUUUAUAUUUUUAUUUUUUUCAAAAAAUUUUUAAAUAAGACGGAUGAUCAAAUUUGGAUAUGGAAACUAAUGACUACCUUAGAA
rfam:Oryza sativa Japonica Group DNA, chromosome 1, cultivar: Nipponbare, complete sequence.